GAGCACAUGUAUCCAAAAUGGCUGCUGUGGGACAAAAACUGUAUGAUUUAUGCUAACACUGUCACCUGUUGUGAUUUGCCUAUUGUACUGUGCUGAGAUGGAUAUAUGGCAAUGUGUCAUGUAUUUCAGAUAUGGUGGAGUUCCUCCACCAUAUCUGAAAUCCUGUAAUAUGUUAAUAGGGAUAUACUGAAUGAACUGCCUUGUUGUAUUGUAGGUGGGCUGGUGGCCUGGUCAUGUACCUGAAAGUGGCGGUGUUCUCCCUACUGUUUUACAGGAAUAACCUUCAGAAUGGAAUACGGCCCAGAAGACAUUACUCAUGUGAGACUACAGCCAUUAAAAACAUCCUACCAAAAUAAAAUAUCUCUUCACGUGGAAGAAGUUAACGUCCUUCCGAUAACACACGUAAGCGGAGGAGGAGUAAAUGUACAUUGGGGCAGUGACCCCCUCUUGCCUGGGAUAGAGAGCAGCAGCUUGUAUUGGUUAUAUUUAUUCACAGACAAGGCUCUGUGGUCCAGACGGGAUGACUCAAUGGACUGAGCAACUUCCUGUGGAAUCUGAUGUCUUCUAAAUACUGCGGGGCUCAUUAUGUCGGGAGCAGCUCUGUUUAUCACUUCCUCCCUUGCAACGUUCUUAUUAAAUUCAGUUGGAGAAGCAUUUCCUCCUCGGAGCGGGCGAGUCAGUGGGAGCUAAUUGAAUUUUAUAUGGGCAAGAAAAGAAAUCUGAGCAGCAGUUGCAGGAAAACAAAGCAGGCCCUAAAUGGAUUUGAGCGGCUUCAUACAGCCGACUGAGCAGUUUGGGAAAACCAAGAUAUAUACAAGUGAUUUUCUGAAGGGACCAGGCAGGGGAUGAACGAAGGUGGGUGCCCAUAUAAUGCAAAAUUAUCAUUGGACUUCAACUCCCACUCAUUGAUACACUAGGAUACUGGAAGUUGUAGUUUAUCAACAGUAAAGAACCUACCUUUAAGCUUCAUACCCUGAAACCAGCCUUGCCAAGUUGACUCCCAGUAGAAAGCCAAUGGGACAGAUAGGUAGGCAGAACUUAAUAUGAAUGGAGCUGUUGGCUCUACAGACAACUCUAUACUUCUCAAAGACUGAAACAAAAUGUAACUAAAGCUUUACUUGACCUUUAAAUGUAGCUGCAGCUAAAAGUUG